rnacentral:rRNA from 1 species
AUUGGACGCUGGCGGCAGGCCUAACACAUGCAAGUCGAGCGAGCGGCGGACGGGUGAGUACUGUCUGGGAAACUGCCUGUUGGAGGGGGAUCACUACUGGAAACGGUAGCUAAUAACGCAUACCAUCAGCUGUGCGCAGAUGUGAGUAGCUAAUCGGUGGGGUAACGGCCAACCUAGGCGACGAUCCCUCGCUGGUCUGCGAGGGUGAUCAGCCAAACGGGGACUGAGACACGGUCCAGACUCCGACGGGAGGCAGCAGUAGGGAAUAUUGCACAAUGGGCGCAAGUCUGAUGCAGCCAUGCCGCGUGUGUGAAGAAGGCCUUCGGGUUGUAAAGCACUUUAAGUUGGGAGGCGUUACCAACAGAAUAAGCACCGGCUAACUUCGUGCCAGCAGCCGCGGUAAUUC